rnacentral:rRNA from 1 species
AACGAACGCUGGCGGCAGGCCUAACACAUGCAAGUCGAACGCUCCGCAAGGGGAGUGGCGCACGGGUGAGUAACACGUGGGAACCUACCUUCUGGUACGGAACAACCAAGGGAAACUUUGGCUAAGACCGGUAUACGGACCUCCGGGUGAAAGAUUGAUCGCCGGAAGAGGGGCCCGCGGUCCGAUUAGGUAGUUGGUGAGGUAACGGCUCACCAAGCCUUCGAUCGGUAGCUGGUCUGAGAGGAUGACCAGCCACACUGGGACUGAGACACGGCCCAGACUCCUACGGGAGGCAGCAGUGGGGAA